UACGUAGGGUGCAAGCGUUGUCCGGAAUUAUUGGGCGUAAAGAGCUCGUAGGCGGUUUGUUGCGUCGGCUGUGAAAUCCCGAGGCUCAACCUCGGGUCUGCAGUCGAUACGAGCAAACUAGAGUGUUGCAGGGGAGACUGGAAUUCCUGGUGUAGCGGUGAAAUGCGCAGAUAGUCAGGGAGGGAACACCGGUGGCGGAAGGCGGGUCUCUGGGGCCGAU
rnacentral:rRNA from 1 species